AUCACUAUCGGUAUAACCUCUUAAAAUCAGAUUCUCUAUCUUCCUAAACUAGAUUCCCAAUUCUGCAGUCCCUUUGAUGUACCUCAGUACUAUUUUUGAUGCCUGAAGAUGUAAAUUCGUUGGCUCUUGUCUGAAUCUAGAGAGGAGAUUUGUAGCAUACAUGAUAUCUGAUCUUUUUAUGGUUAGAUACAUUAAACAUCCUACCAAACUUCUGUACACCUUUUCAUCAAUUCUUAUGCUUCCAUCUUCUUUCAUCAAUUUUAGAUUUUGAACAAGUAGAGUGCUAACUGGUUUGCAAUUCUCCAUGCAGAACUUCUUCAAGAUCUCAUUGGCAUAUCUCUGUUGACAAACGAAAAUGCCUUCUUUUGAUUGAUUUACUUCCAUUCCUAGAGAAUACUUCAUUUCUCCUAGAUCUGUCAUCUCAAAUGCCUUCAUCAUUUCAUCUUUCACUUUGUCGAUUAAAGCCAGAUUAUUACCAGUUACUAGCCGGUCAUCAACAUACAAAGAAAUGAUGAUUGGUUCUUCCUCCACUUGCUUCAUAUAAAGUGUUUGCUCAUUAACACUUUUGGCAAAACCAAGGCAACUCAAAUGCUCAUCUAUUCUACUGUACCAGGCUCUUGGAGCCUGUUUCAAGCCAUAUAAUGCCUUUUUUAAUAGAUACACCUUUUCCUCCUUUCCAAAAACUAGAAAGCCAUCAGGUUGGUCAAUAUAAAUCUCUUCAUUUAAGUAGCCGUUUAAGAAAGUUGACUUCACAUCAAGUUGAUGAAUUUUCCA
rnacentral:lncRNA from 1 species